AGGAUAAAUCAUUACUUCUUUGAUUUGCUUGUUUUAUUUCCAUCUUUUUGAUUGAUCAUACACAAAGCUUUAAAGGAGUUCUCCAUUGCCUCUUCCAUUCUCAUAACCAUGAUCUCGUUUUUAUCUAACCUAGGGAGAGGUCUCUGGAAUUAUCCUUUUACUUAAAUCACACAAAUUUGUACUAUCUUAUACUGGCAGCAUAUGAGAAAACAAAUUUAAGGUCACAAGGCUAAAUGACAUAGUGGCCUUCAUGAUCAAGGGAUUCCAUAAUUCGGGUCAGGCCACUUAGUAAGUAAAUUCAUCAGCUAUAGCUGAUUUGAUUAUCAUUUACACGGGUUACACCUCUAUGGACUUGCACGUGUGUAAUUAUACAAUGUUGCUUUGGUCUCGUUUGAGUAUCUUGCUCUUAUUUGUUCUCUCAAUUUUCAAGUACUAAGUUACGAAGACCGUAGGAAACUUCUCCUAAGCAAAACCAUUUUUUGACAGGCAACACCUAAACCAGUGGCAGUCGGAUUUGGCAUUUCAAAACCUGAACAUGUUAAGCAGGUGGCAGAAUGGGGAGCUGAUGGUGUUAUUGUUGGUAGUGCAAUGGUAAGAAUUUUAGGUGAAGCAAAAUCACCUGAAGAAGGCUUGAAGGAAUUAGAGGUCUUCGCCACAUCUUUAAAGUCUGCACACCCUUGAUCAGUUGUAGAAUUGAUGAUUUUGUUGUCUCAAAGCUUUUUGGCCACCUCAAUUUUCAAACCUCAGUUCUUAGAAGCAAAUUGGAUCUUGAAAUAGAUCGUCUGAUUUAAGCUGUAGAGUUUGACAUUCGUACUCUAGCUUGUGUUAGAUGCAAAUUUGUUUGCUAUGGUAAUUCACCUUAUUGAGCAAAGGCAUAUGGGAGACUUUCAAAAUAACCUAAUUGAAGCAUAAAUAAGGCAACACUAGCCACAUUUUACAAAA